rnacentral:rRNA from 1 species
UACGUAGGGUGCGAGCGUUGUCCGGAAUUAUUGGGCGUAAAGAGCUUGUAGGCGGUUUGUCGCGUCUGCUGUGAAAAUCCGGGGCUCAACCCCGGACUGCAGUGGGGUACGGGCAGACUGGAGUGUGGUAGGGGAGACUGGAAUUCCUGGUGUAGCGGUGGAAUGCGCAGAUAUCAGGAGGAACACCGAUGGCGAAGGCAGGUCUCUGGGCCACUACUGACGCUGAGAAGCGAAAGCAUGGGGAGCAAACAGG